rnacentral:rRNA from 1 species
AGCAGCCGCGGUAAUUCCAGCUCCAAUAGCGUAUAUUAAAGUUGUUGCAGUUAAAAAGCUCGUAGUUGAAUUUCGGGAUCAAUUUAUUGGUCGUGCUAUUGUACGUACUGGUAUUAUUGAUUCCUACCUUCUGACGAACCAUGAUGUCAUUAAUUUGGUGUCAUGGGGAAUCAGGACUGUUACUUUGAAAAAUUAGAGUGUUUAAAGCAGGCUCACGCUUGAAUACAUUAGCAUGGAAUAACGAAAUAGGACGUUUGAUUCUAUUUUGUUGGUUUCUAGGAUCGACGUAAUGAUUAAUAGGGAUAGUUGGGGGCAUUAGUAUUCAAUUGUCAGAGGUGAAAUUCUUGGAUUUAUUGAAGACUAACUACUGCGAAAGCAUUUGCCAAGGAUGUUUUCAUUAAUCAAGAACGAAAGUUAGGGGAUCGAAGACGAUCAGAUACCGUCGUAGUCUUAACCAUAAACUAUGCCGACUAGGGAUCGGAUGAUGUUAAUUUUUUAAUGACUCAUUCGGCGCCUUACG